rnacentral:misc_RNA from 1 species
UACUGCAGGAGGGGUCUUC